rnacentral:rRNA from 2 species
UGGGGAAUCUUGCGCAAUGGGCGAAAGCCUGACGCAGCAACGCCGCGUGAGCGAAGAAGGCCUUCGGGUUGUAAAGCUCUGUCAGGGGGAAAGAAGGCACCUGGGUUAAUAGCCCAAGGGCUGACGGUACCCCCAAAGGAAGCCACGGCUAACUACGUGCCAGCAGCCGCGGUAAUACGUAGGUGGCAAGCGUUGUCCGGAAUCAUUGGGCGUAAAGAGCGCGUAGGUGGCUUGUAAGGUCUGAUGUGAAAUUUCGGGGCUCAACUCCGAACCUGCAUCGGAAACCGGCUUGCUAGAGUCUCGGAGAGGAGAGUGGAAUUCCUGGUGUAGCGGUGAAAUGCGUAGAUAUCAGGAGGAACACCGGUAGCGAAGGCGGCUCUCUGGAACAGUACUGACGCUGAGGCGCGAAAGCUAGGGGAGCGAACAGG